CGUUAACGCAAGGAGGCAGAGAUGGAACUAACACGUUCAUUCAACAUCCUGGCAGUAAGUGCAGCAUUUGUUUUUGUAGCGGUCAUGCUGUUCAUAUGACAUGAACCAUGACAAUUGGCUUUGAGAGGAUUGAAAAAAUCUCUGGCUAAACAGGAUACAAUAAAAAUAUCCGCAAUUU
rnacentral:sRNA from 1 species